UACGUAGGGUGCAAGCGUUGUCCGGAAUUAUUGGGCGUAAAGAGCUCGUAGGCGGUCUGUCGCGUCUGCUGUGAAAACCUGGGGCUUAACCCCGGGCCUGCAGUGGGUACGGGCAGACUAGAGUGUGGUAGGGGAGACUGGAAUUCCUGGUGUAGCGGUGAAAUGCGCAGAUAUCAGGAGGAACACCGGUGGCGAAGGCGGGUCUCUGGGCCAUAACUGACGCUGAGGAGCGAAAGCGUGGGGAGCGAACAGGAUUAGACUACCGUAGUCAGUC
rnacentral:rRNA from 1 species